rnacentral:misc_RNA from 1 species
UUGCAAUUUCUGUCCCAGUUACCACUAAUUCAUUUGGACACCCGCCCCUGCCAAAAACUCUCAUUACCAACAACUCAAAACUUUCUUCUGUCUCCAAGAAUUUCAGCUUAUGAGGUUCUUUAUUGGCAAAGAAACCAAGACGUGUGUCACGUGUGGUCAUCAUAAUCCGAUGACCCUUUUUGUUUUCUGCGAAAACUUUCAUCACGUGAUCAAUGACAUCGUCCUCCCACACAUCAUCUAAAACAAUG